rnacentral:rRNA from 1 species
ACAGCAGCCGCCGCGGUAAUACGUAGGUGGCAAGCGUUGUCCGGAAUUAUUGGGCGCAAAGGGCUCGCAGGCGGUUUCUUAAGUCUGAUGUGAAAGCCCCCGGCUCAACCGGGGAGGGUCAUUGGAAACUGGGAAACUUGAGUGCAGAAGAGGAGAGUGGAAUUCCACGUGUAGCGGUGAAAUGCGUAGAGAUGUGGAGGAACACCAGUGGCGAAGGCGACUCUCUGGUCUGUAACUGACGCUGAGGAGCGAAAGCGUGGGGAGCGAACAGGAUUAGAUACCCCUGUAGUCCCUGUCUCUUAUAC